rnacentral:rRNA from 1 species
ACGAACGCUGGCGGCGUGCUUAACACAUGCAAGUCGAACGGUAAGGCCCUUCGGGGUACACGAGUGGCGAACGGGUGAGUAACACGUGGGUGACCUGCCUCGAGCUCUGGGAUAAGCCUGGGAAACUGGGUCUAAUACCGGAUAUGACCUCAUGUCGCAUGGUGUGGGGUGGAAAGUUUUUCGGCUCGAGAUGGGCCCGCGGCCUAUCAGCUUGUUGGUGGGGUGAUGGCCUACCAAGGCGACGACGGGUAGCCGGCCUGAGAGGGCGACCGGCCACACUGGGACUGAGAUACGGCCCAGACUCCUACGGGAGGCAGCAGUGGGGAAUAUUGCGCAAUGGGCGGAAGCCUGACGCAGCGACGCCGCGUGGGGGAUGACGGCCUUCGGGUUGUAAACCUCUUUCGACCCCGACGAAGCGAGAGUGACGGUAGGGGUAUAAGAAGCACCGGCCAACUACGU